AGGUGAGUGGGUCAGGGUGGACUUGAGGACCUCACGACCUCUUUUGACUUCCCUGACUUGGUUCCCGGAUGGGCGAGGACCCCUUCCGGGUCAACCAACUGAGCUAGUGUUGCUGAUGUUGCGGGUCAAAGGCAGCUACUGCCUUAUGAUUUGGGGGAAAGUUGAGCAAUUCUCAGGGCUCCAUCAGAGGAACAUCUGGACUUGCUAGCGUUUGCGUGAACUCUUCGGAUCCCUGAUGCUAAGCCCACCUUACCUCAUCUUUCUCACACUCUGCCUCUGAGUUGCAGGGACGUCUGUUUCAUGGCCCCUGUUAUGUUCUUCUCAGAGUGACCAGCAGUGGACCUGCGAGGGGACUUACCCAAUGAUGCCCGUCACCACGCUGGGACUGGCACUCCGUCUCUGGCCUCUUUAUACCUGAGGACACGCACACAGUGGAAGAGCUGCUGUCAACAUCACGCAACUGGCCAGACAAGAGCUUCUUCCCAGCCACACCAAGGAGUGGACACCAUGGCUAAAGCUGUGCAGUCAUGGGGACAGCCGACGCACGCCACUGAGCAGACUCUCGAGGGCAGUCUU
rnacentral:lncRNA from 1 species